AAACUUAAAGGAAUUGACGGGGAGCACCACAACAGGUGGAGCCUGCGGUUUAAUCGGACUCAACGCCGGGGAAACUCACCAGAUAAGACAGCUGAAUGAUAGUCGGGCUGAAGACUCUACUUGACUAGCUGAGAGGAGGUGCAUGGCCGUCGUCAGUUCGUACUGUGAAGCAUCCUGUUAAGUCAGGCAACGAGCGAGACCCACGCCAACAGUUGCCAGCUCGUCCUCCGGGAUGGUGGGGACACUGUUGGGACCGCCUCUGCUAAAGAGGAGGAAGGAAUGGGCAACGGUAGGUCAGCAUGCCCCGAAUUAUCUGGGCUACACGCGGGCUACAAUGGGUGGGACAAUGGGUAUCGACACCGAAAGGGGACGGGAAUCUCCUAAAACCAAUCUUAGUUCGGAUUGAGGGCUGCAACUCGCCCUCAUGAAGCUGGAAUCCGUAGUAAUCGCGUUUCAACAGAACGCGGUGAAUACGUCCCUGCUCCUU
rnacentral:rRNA from 1 species